rnacentral:rRNA from 1 species
GAUGAACGCUGGCGGCGUGCCUAAUACAUGCAAGUCGAGCGAACGGACGAGAAGCUUGCUUCUCUGAUGUUAGCGGCGGACGGGUGAGUAACACGUGGAUAACCUACCUAUAAGACUGGGAUAACUUCGGGAAACCGUAGCUAAUACCGGAUAAUAUUUUGAACCGCAUGGUUCAAAAGUGAAAGACGGUCUUGCUGGCACUUAUAGAUGGAUCCGCGCUGCAUUAGCUAGUUGGUAAGGUAACGGCUUACCAAGGCAACGAUGCAUAGCCGACCUGAGAGGGUGAUCGGCCACACUGGAACUGGGACACGGUCCAGACUCCUACGGGAGGCAGCAGUAGGCAAUCUUCCGCAAAGGGCGAAAGCCUGACGGAGCAACGCCGCGUGAGUGAUGAAGGUCUUCGGAUCGUGAAACUCUGUUAUUAGGGAAGAACAUAUGUGUAAGUAACUGUGCACAUCUUGACGGUACCUAAUCAGAAAGCCACGGCUAACUACGUG